rnacentral:rRNA from 1 species
UACGAGGGGUGCAAGCGUUGCUCGGAAUUAUUGGGCGUAAAGGGUAGGUAGGUGGUCUCAUUUGUCUGGGGUGAAAUCCUUGAGCUUAACUCAAGAAGUGCCCCAGAAACGGUGAGACUGGAGUCUUGGAGAGGGUCGUGGAAUUCCCGGUGUAGCGGUGAAAUGCGUAGAGAUCGGGAGGAACACCAGCGGCGAAGGCGGCGACCUGGACAAGUACUGACACUCAACGUACGAAAGCGUGGGGAGCAAACAGG